rnacentral:SRP_RNA from 1 species
GAGUAAGUCUUUCGCGACCAGCUCCCCUCGAAUCCCCCAGGACAGGAAUGUAGCAAGGGUAGUUGGGUUGAGCGGUGCGAUGAAAGUAGCUUGCUCUC